rnacentral:rRNA from 1 species
ACGCUGGCGGCGUGCUUAACACAUGCAAGUCGAACGGAAAGGCCCUGCUUUUGUGGGGUGCUCGAGUGGCGAACGGGUGAGUAACACGUGAGUAACCUGCCCUUGACUUUGGGAUAACUUCAGGAAACUGGGGCUAAUACCGGAUAGGAGCUCCUGCUGCAUGGUGGGGGUUGGAAAGUUUCGGCGGUUGGGGAUGGACUCGCGGCUUAUCAGCUUGUUGGUGGGGUAGUGGCUUACCAAGGCUUUGACGGGUAGCCGGCCUGAGAGGGUGACCGGCCACAUUGGGACUGAGAUACGGCCCAGACUCCUACGGGAGGCAGCAGUGGGGAAUAUUGCACAAUGGGCGGAAGCCUGAUGCAGCAACGCCGCGUGCGGGAUGACGGCCUUCGGGUUGUAAACCGCUUUCGCCUGUGACGAAGCGUGAGUGACGGUAAUGGGUAAAGAAGCACCGGCUAACUACGUGCCAGCAGCCGCGGUGAUACGUAGGGUGCGAGCGUUGUCCGGAUUUAUUGGGCGUAAAGGGCUCGUAGGUGGUUGAUCGCGUCGGAAGUGUAAUCUUGGGGCUUAACCCUGAGCGUGCUUUCGAUACGGGUUGACUUGAGGAAGGUAGGGGAGAAUGGAAUUCCUGGUGGAGCGGUGGAAUGCGCAGAUAUCAGGAGGAACACCAGUGGCGAAGGCGGUUCUCUGGGCCUUUCCUGACGCUGAGGAGCGAAAGCGUGGGGAGCGAACAGGCUUAGAUACCCUGGUAGUCCACGCUGUAAACGGUGGGUACUAGGUGUGGGGUCCAUUCCACGGGUUCCGUGCCGUAGCUAACGCUUUAAGUACCCCGCCUGGGGAGUACGGCCGCAAGGCUAAAACUCAAAGGAAUUGACGGGGCCCCGCACAAGCGGCGGAGCAUGCGGAUUAAUUCGAUGCAACGCGUAGAACCUUACCUGGGUUUGACAUGGAUCGGGAGUGCUCAGAGAUGGGUGUGCCUCUUUUGGGGUCGGUUCACAGGUGGUGCAUGGCUGUCGUCAGCUCGUGUCGUGAGAUGUUGGGUUAAGUCCCGCAACGAGCGCAACCCUUGUUCACUGUUGCCAGCACGUUAUGGUGGGGACUCAGUGGAGACCGCCGGGGUCAACUCGGAGGAAGGUGGGGAUGACGUCAAGUCAUCAUGCCCCUUAUGUCCAGGGCUUCACGCAUGCUACAAUGGCUGGUACAGAGAGUGGCGAGCCUGUGAGGGUGAGCGAAUCUCGGAAAGCCGGUCUCAGUUCGGAUUGGGGUCUGCAACUCGACCUCAUGAAGUCGGAGUCGCUAGUAAUCGCAGAUCAGCAACGCUGCGGUGAAUACGUUCCCGGGGCUUGUACACACCGCCCGUCAAGUCAUGAAAGUUGGUAACACCCGAAGCCAAUGGCCUAACCGUUGUGGGGGAGCCGUCGAAGGUGGGAC